rnacentral:rRNA from 1 species
UAAGACGAAGGGGGCUAGCGUUGUUCGGAAUUACUGGGCGUAAAGGGCGCGCAGGCGGCUCGACAAGUCAGGCGUUAAAGACCCAGGCUUAACCUGGGGAAUGCGCUUGAUACUGUUGGGCUUGAGAUCGGAAGAGGAGAGUGGAAUUCCCAGUGUAGAGGUGAAAUUCGUAGAUAUUGGGAAGAACACCAGUGGCGAAGGCGGCUCUCUGGUCCGAUUCUGACGCUGAGGCGCGAAAGCGUGGGGAGCAAACAGG